rnacentral:rRNA from 1 species
UACAGAGGUCUCAAGCGUUGUUCGGAUUCAUUGGGCGUAAAGGGUGCGUAGGCGGCGCGGUAAGUCGGGUGUGAAAUCUCGGGGCUUAACUCCGAAACUGCAUUCGAUACUGCCGUGCUUGAGGACUGGAGAGGAGACUGGAAUUUACGGUGUAGCGGUGAAAUGCGUAGAUAUCGAGAGGAACAUCAGUGGCGAAAGCGAAUCUCUGGGCGACACCUGACGCUGAGGCACGAAAGCCAGGGGAGCAAACGGG